rnacentral:rRNA from 1 species
GAUGAACGCUGGCGGCGUGCCUAAUACAUGCAAGUCGAGCGAACAGACGAGGCUCUUGCUCCUCUGACGUUAGCGGCGGACGGGUGAGUAACAGGUGGAUUACCUACCUAUAAGACUGAGAUAACUUCGGGAAACCGGAGCUAAUACCGGAUAAUAUAUUGAACCGCAUGGUUGAAUAGUGAAAGACGGUUUUGCUGUCCUUUCUAGCUGUAUCCGCGCCGCAUGAGCUAGUUGGUAAGGUAACGGCUUACGAGGGCCGCAAUGGGUAGCCGACCCGAGAGCGUGAACGCCCACACUGGGACUGAACCACGGUCCUGACUCCUACGGGAGGCAGCAGUAGGGACUCGUCCGCGAUGGGCGAAAGCCUGACGGAGCAGCGCCGGGCUAGUGAUGAAGGUCUUCGGAUCGUAAAACUCUGUUAGUGGGGAAGAACAAUUGUGUAAGUAACUAUGCACGUCUUGACGGUACCUAAUCAGAAAGCCACGGCUAACUACGUG